AUCCUUUGCAGGGUGGAGUCUGGGCAACGGAAUGGAGCUAGCUGAGUGUUUACUAACCAGAUGCCCUUCCUGUCGCCAAUCUGGAGUUAUAUUCAGUAGAUAUAUUCUCAUUGUGUCCAGAGAGAGAAAUGUCUGCCUCUACCUGGGAUCAAACUCACAGCCUCCUGAUUGUGAGGCAAGAACUUCACUUCUAGGCCAUCACACCUCUCUGUCCUGCAUCCACAAUCAGGACAGUUAAUUGCAGUGGUUGCUCUUUAGGUGAAAAACAAUUUAUUUUCCCAGAAAUCAAGCUGCAAUGGGAAGGUUCUGGGAAAGUGA